GGAAGGAAUCCAUGCAGCAGAAAAUCAGAUACUUUCAACAGUAGAGUCGACGCUACCCAGAUUCACUUUGGGACAUGUGAAGGAGGCAGCAACCACGUGGAACUCGUGUCUCGAACACAGUGAGGUCUUCACACCUCAGCGCUGGGCAUCGGGAGGCAGCCUUCACGUGAUGCUGCCCUACGAGGCCAGCAAGGGCUCCCGGGAAAUGAAAACGGCAGCAGCCGGCACCCAGUCCCAGCAGCAGACAGGAGCAGGUUAAUCCACACCAUGGACACUGUCUAUGCAAAGCGGAUAUUUGGUCCCAGAUGGCUCAACCCUGGGCUAUUACACAUCCUUAAAGCUGACACUGGCAUAGCACAUGGGUAUGUAACACUUAAAGUAUUGCUGCAACCCUUCAGGAAGGAUGUCCUGAAAAGCUGCACACCCCCAGGCGUCAGCCUUCUGACAUCGCUUGAGGAGGGGCUAAAUGACAUUUGGAGACCAUGUGUG
rnacentral:lncRNA from 1 species